AUUUGUGGCCCGUCUAUAUGAUCGUGCAUCAUAAUUUAGCAAAUGUGAAGGGAAAACGGAUUUGCAAACUGUACAAUUUGCAAGUUUCCUACUCAUCCAAUUAUUGCUGCUCGUUGGAUCGAAAAAAUUAGACUCAACCGUAAUGCCAAGUGUUGGAAGCCUGGUAAAAGUACCAAAAUAUGUUCUAUUCACUUCGACGACAAAGAAAAGUAUAGUACUAAAGGUGGCUUGUGCAAAUUAACUCGAGGCGCUGUUCCAAAUAAGGUUCUGCCCAUUUUUUAUUUGGAAGACGAAGUUUAUAGCGAUGAGAUACGCGAUCACCACGAUCUUCAACUACCGCAACCGGUUAGUUUUCAACGAUGCACGAACGAUGAAAAAGUGUUA